GACGAACGCUGGCGGCGUGCCUAAUACAUGCAAGUCGAGCGGACGAAUCGAAAGCUUGCUUUUGAUUCGUUAGCGGCGGACGGGUGAGUAACACGUGGGCAACCUGCCCUGUAGACGGGGAUAACACCGAGAAAUCGGUGCUAAUACCGGAUAACACGAAAUGUCGCAUGACGUUUCGUUGAAAGACGGCGCAAGCUGCCGCUACAGGAUGGGCCCGCGGCGCAUUAGCUAGUUGGUGAGGUAACGGCUCACCAAGGCGACGAUACGUAGCCGACCUGAGAGGGUGAUCGGCCACACUGGGACUGAGACACGGCCCAGACUCCUACGGGAGGCAGCAGUAGGGAAUCUUCCGCAAUGGACGAAAGUCUGACGGAGCAACGCCGCGUCAGCGAAGAAGGCCUUCGGGUCGUAAAGCUCUGUUGUUAGGGAAGAACAAGUAACGCAGUAACUGGCGUUACCGUGACGGUACCUAACGAGAAAGCCACGGCUAACUACGUG
rnacentral:rRNA from 1 species